AUGUUUGGCACUAGCUUGAGACUGCUCAGGUUGGAGAAAUCGCAGAGAGUCGUCAACAACUCUCCCUGCUACCGUGUAUCUGCGGCUUUCUUCUACGGGUCGAACUUCGACGCUAGCGUGGAGCCGGUGGAGUUGUGCCGGGAGAAACGGACGGCACUACCAAGUACAAGAUGGUGGGAGGCUGGGAGCAUUACUCGUGCGGGGAGCACCACUCCUCCCAAUCAUGGACUGUCAGCGGGAUCAAGGCAAAAUAUCAACUCGGCAAAAAAAAAGGCAUAG
rnacentral:rRNA from 1 species